GGUAGCUCGGUUAAGUGUUUCUCUGGGUUUCCAGGUGCUGUGCAGGCAGCCUUUGGAAUUGGAUGAGCAUUUGAGGUGCCACAAGCGAUGAUGGCUGUGGUGUCCGACUCUGGAGUUGACACGGAGCAGAUGAUGAUGAGGAACCUGGCAAUGGCAGGAAAAUCCUGGUUAGCUGAUGUAGUUUUGGUUGAGGAUGGAUUCAGAGCCCUGGCCCUCUGAAAGCUAAGUUGAAGGACUGAAGUUUGUGAGAGGGCUCUGGCAGGAGGGCAUGUAAGAGACUGAACUGUGAACUGUUUGUCUCAAAGAUUGCCUGCCUACAAGGACGCUUGCAAGGUCACGGAGGCCUCCAGCUUGAGAAAAACAUCACAUGUAUGCAUGCAGAGAUGUGCAAAGUCGUUUUGUUUGCUGAUCAUGCAAAAGUUGUGUGAUAGAUGAAACAUAAAGCAUGUGGACAGCACACGAGACAUGCGCAUGUGUGUCGGACUGUGCUCUAUAAAAAGACCAUGGAAACAAGCCGCGGUGCGUGCCCACCACUGAAGACCAAUGGGAUGCCACAGAUCCAUGGUGAUGAAUAGGGACAGGAUGCGCACGAAAGAGUGACGGAGGAGGCGAGCGGAGACCCAUAAGAAGGUGGUGGGUCAGUGAGUGGUGUCGAGAUUAAGUGGGUGCCUGUGUUAAGUGGAAUUAUUGGCACCAGAGCUGGCUC